rnacentral:rRNA from 1 species
CGAUUAAGUGCCUUGGAACAGGCUGCCGUAGAGGGUGAGAGCCCCGUGAAUCGCUGGAGACCGAUCAAUUAGUGCCCGCCGAAGAGUCGAGUUGUUUGGGAAUGCAGCUCUAAGUGGGUGGUAUAUUCCAUCUAAGGCUAAAUAUUAGCGAGAGACCGAUAGCAAACAAGUACAGUGAUGGAAAGAUGAAAAGAACUUUGGAAAGAGAGUGAAAUAGUACGUGAAAUUGUUGAAAGGGAAGGGUAUUUGAUCCGACAUGGUGUUUAGCAGCGGCCCGUUCCUCGUA